rnacentral:rRNA from 1 species
UAAUACGGAGGAUCCAAGCGUUAUCCGGAAUCAUUGGGUUUAAAGGGUCCGUAGGUGGACGAUUAAGUCAGGGGUGAAAUCUUGCAGCUCAACUGUAAAAUUGCCCUUGAUACUGGUUGUCUUGAAUCAUUGUGAAGUGGUUAGAAUAUGUAGUGUAGCGGUGAAAUGCAUAGAUAUUACAUAGAAUACCGAUUGCGAAGGCAGAUCACUAACGGUGCAUUGACACUGAUGGACGAAAGCGUGGGGAGCGAACAGGAUUAGAUACCCUGGUAGUCCACGCCGUAAACGAUGGAUACUAGCUGUCCGGCGCAAGCUGGGUGGCUAAGCGAAAGUGAUAAGUAUCCCACCUGGGGAGUACGUUCGCAAGAAUGAAACUUAAAUGAAUUGACGG